AACGAACGCUGGCGGCAGGCCUAACACAUGCAAGUCGAGCGCGCCCUUCGGGGUGAGCGGCGGACGGGUGAGUAACGCGUGGGAACGUGCCCUUUUCUACGGAAUAGCCUCGGGAAACUGAGAGUAAUACCGUAUACGCCCUUUGGGGGAAAGAUUUAUCGGAAAAGGAUCGGCCCGCGUUGGAUUAGGUAGUUGGUGGGGUAAUGGCCUACCAAGCCGACGAUCCAUAGCUGGUUUGAAAGGAUGAUCAGCCACACUGGGACUGAGACACGGCCCAGACUCCUACGGGAGGCAGCAGUGGGGAAUCUUAGACAAUGGGGGCAACCCUGAUCUAGCCAUGCCGCGUGAGUGAUGAAGGCCUUAGGGUUGUAAAGCUCUUUCAGCUGGGAAGAUAAUGACGGUACCAGCAGAAGAAGCCCCGGCUAACUCCGUG
rnacentral:rRNA from 1 species